AGUAAAUAGAGGACUCGCGAGCUCCUGGCACGGCUUGACCCUGCGACCGGGCCAGAAGCAAAGGACCGGAAGCUGGGACGGGCCGGGACAAACCUGGGCCGGGCAGACGCGGGCAGAGGAGGGGACGCCGAGAGAGCACCCCCUCGGGAAGCCAGCUAUCCCGCAGCCCAGGAUCCAGCAGGGCGGCUAAGAAUUCAGGGAUCGGAGCCACAUUACCCGGCUCGGAUACCAGCUCUGCCACUCCACUCGGAUGAUCUCGAGGAAACCGCAGUCAUUCUGUGCCCCAGAUUAUUUUAUUUGUAAGAUUAAUAGCAAGACUUACCUGCUAAGGUUGUAUUAACGAGUUAAUGUAGAUACUAGUAUGUGGGAGUGUGUGUUUGGAAGAAUCUGGCCCGUGGUGAGCCAAAUCAGUGCUAGCUAUUUUUAUUCCUAAGCAGCAAAACAGUAGCUUACCAAGUAUUAGGCAACUACUAAAUCACAAUAUUGUUGUAAUGUUUUGUUUUCUUGAUCGUUUUUCAGUUUUAAAAUGAAUAAUUGUAAAGGAAUUUUCCACUUUAAAGCUAAUAUUAAAAUUUAGUGAAGUAUUGCCUGUAUGAACUGAAAUGUAUAUUUACCAAAUAAAAAUAUCACACCUCUG